CACGUAGGGGGCAAGCGUUGUCCGGAUUCAUUGGGCGUAAAGAGCUCGUAGGCGGCUCAGCAAGUCGGGUGUGAAACCUCCGGGCUCAACUCGGAGACGCCACCCGAUACUGCUGUGGCUAGAGUCCAGUAGGGGAGCGUGGAAUUCCCAGUGUAGCGGUGAAAUGCGCAGAUAUUGGGAGGAACACCAGCGGCGAAGGCGGCGCUCUGGGCUGGAACUGACGCUGAGGA
rnacentral:rRNA from 1 species